GUUAAAUUAGACCACACCUUCAUUUCCUGUGGAGCUUCGCAUUUCAGAAUCUUCGGUCGUCAUUUUUUCUUGCUGCUGCGGUGGUGAUAUGCUGGUUCCUGACAAGAGAUGAAGAAAUCAAAGUCAGCUUUUCAAGACAGCCCCAAGACUCCUCGCAACCUGUGUUCAAAUGUGAGGCUGUUGUCAGGUGAUGAAUGCAAGGAAGAGGCACUCAACUGACAUGAAACAUGUCAAAGACAACAUGAAGGUGACAUUUCAACAUAGGCAAAAAGUGGUUCAAGAACCUGCCACAGCUUCUACUGUCCUGGACCUUUUCCCAAGAUUUCUGUACACCUGGCUUGGUUGACCAAGACUUCACAAUGCUGUUUGUUGGGGAGGAAGUGUCUGCUAAGUUCCUUGCAAAGUGGCCAACCAAGCCAAGGAUCAUCAAAGAUUGCAAAAAUCUGUCUCAGAGUACAGAAUUGGAUGAGCUGCUCAUUUCUGCACAGCGUUACUCUGACGAGGGUGGUAAGUGUAAGUUGGAAAUGGUAGAUUUUGCAUGCCUUUACAGCAUUUGCUUAAUUCCCACAACACAAUAUAUCAGUGGACCAUACUGGUAAACCUUUACUACAAAUUGGAAUACAGCUGUCCAUUUUCUAAAUCACAUUGGGUUUCUGUUCAUUUCUGUAUGGUAUGAAAACAAGCUUACAAACAUGUUAAACCUGAAAUGACAUUUAAUGUAGUUUGAACACAAAAAAAGUUACGUAAUCUUACUAUUGUUAUGACUCGAUAUGUACUUCACGUGGUGGCCAGAAGAUUUUAAGUCUCUAGAAAGAAAUUUGUAUACCAAGGCACUGGAAAACUGCCUUAUUUGAAAAAUUAUCGGGUGUCUAAAAUGUCAUCAUGGUAUUACAUAACGUGGAAAAAAU
ensembl:lncRNA